rnacentral:rRNA from 1 species
GACAGAGGAUGCAAGCGUUAUCCGGAAUGAUUGGGCGUAAAGCGUCUGUAGGUGGCUUUUUAAGUCUGCCGUCAAAUCCCAGGGCUCAACCCUGGACAGGCGGUGGAAACUACCAAGCUGGAGUACGGUAGGGGCAGAGGGAAUUUCCGGUGGAGCGGUGAAAUGCGUAGAUAUCUGGAGGAACACCGGUGGCGAAGGCGGCAUCCUGGACCGGCAUUGACGCUGAGGCGCGAAAGCCAGGGGAGCAAACGGG